UACGGAGGGAGCUAGCGUUGUUCGGAAUUACUGGGCGUAAAGCGCACGUAGGCGGCUACUCAAGUCAGAGGUGAAAGCCCGGGUCUCAACCCCGGAACUGCCUUUGAAACUAGGUAGCUAGAAUCUUGGAGAGUUCAGUGGAAUUCCGAGUGUAGAGGUGAAAUUCGUAGAUAUUCGGAAGAACACCAGUGGCGAAGGCGACUGACUGGACAAGUAUUGACGCUGAGGUGCGAAAGCGUGGGGAGCAAACAGG
rnacentral:rRNA from 1 species